GUGGGGAAUAUUGGACAAUGGGGGGAACCCUGAUCCAGCCAUGCCGCGUGUGUGAAGAAGGCCUUUUGGUUGUAAAGCACUUUAAGCGAGGAGGAGGCUACCGAGAUUAAUACUCUUGGAUAGUGGACGUUACUCGCAGAAUAAGCACCGGCUAACUCUGUGCCAGCAGCCGCGGUAAUACAGAGGGUGCAAGCGUUAAUCGGAUUUACUGGGCGUAAAGCGCGCGUAGGUGGCCAAUUAAGUCAAAUGUGAAAUCCCCGAGCUUAACUUGGGAAUUGCAUUCGAUACUGGGUUGCUAGAGUAUGGGAGAGGAUGGUAGAAUUGCAGGUGUAGCGGUGAAAUGCGUAGAGAUCUGGAGGAAUACCGAUGGCGAAAGCAGCCAUCUGGCCUAAUACUGACACUGAGGUGCGAAAGCAUGGGGAGCAAACAGGAUUAGAUACCCUUGUAGUCC
rnacentral:rRNA from 1 species